CCGGGGAAGAAAUCUUUGAAGUGAUAUUUGACCUGAGUCUAGAGAACAAGGAGGAACUAGCCAUGUGAAAAUGGAGGACAGAGAGGUGGAGAACCUUUGAGAUUCGGAUCUGAAAACGGUAUGUGCAAAGGCCCUGAGGCAGGAAAGAACUUGGUCUUGAAGAAGUGAAAGAAGCCAGUGUGGCUGGAAGGCAAUAGAGUGUGGAGACCAUGGCUGUAGCUCCAGCAACCGUCCUUGUGUGCGAAAGGAAGCAGCGCUGUGCUGCUAGUGUUUUAACAAGUUCUCCGGCGGGAGGGACCCUGAUUUGAAGCAUUUGCCCAUUUCCGUGGUGUAAAUAUGCUCACCGUGGCUGAUAUCAAGCUGCCAACUGGAAGUCACUGAAGAUGGCGUUGGGAAGAGAUGCACACAUGAAGUAGCUGGCUCCAGCUGUGCACUGGUGGCCGUGUGCAACCACAAUAGCAGCCUGGGUCUUUGACACCGUGGAGCCUCCAUAGUAACUCUGAAUUUCCUCCCUCCUGGCUUUCUUCAUUUAAGGGGAAAAUAAACUUCUUGCUUGUUCAAGAACUCUAUUUGGCUUGGCUUGGAACAACAUUGAAAUACAGUCACAUCAUCGGGGAAGAGGCGGUGUGAGGGAGAGAACAUCCUCAUCGACCUUGAUGUUUCAGCUCUCCCAGAAGUGGAAUCUUGGACCAGUCAAUCAGCACUACUAGCGAGGAAACCUGCCUGAUGGACCUCGGCCAUCCCCUGUAGGAAGGUGACCUUGCCACGACUGUUCACUUCUUGC
rnacentral:lncRNA from 1 species